CCUACGGGAGGCAGCAGUGGGGAAUAUUGGGCAAUGGGCGCAAGCCUGACCCAGCAACGCCGCGUGAAGGAAGAAGGCUUUCGGGUUGUAAACUUCUUUUCUGAGGGACGAAGAAAGUGACGGUACCUCAGGAAUAAGCCACGGCUAACUACGUGCCAGCAGCCGCGGUAAUACGUAGGUGGCAAGCGUUAUCCGGAUUUAUUGGGUGUAAAGGGCGUGUAGGCGGGAAAGCAAGUCAGAUGUGAAAACUCAGGGCUCAACCCUGAGCCUGCAUUUGAAACUGUUUUUCUUGAGUGCUGGAGAGGCAAUCGGAAUUCCGUGUGUAGCGGUGAAAUGCGUAGAUAUACGGAGGAACACCAGUGGCGAAGGCAGCUUACUAAACUGCCACUGACAUUGAUGCUCGAAAGUGUGGGUAUCAAACAGGAUUAGAUACCCGUGUAGUC
rnacentral:rRNA from 1 species